CCUACGGGGGGCAGCAGUAGGGAAUCUUUCACAAUGGGCGAAAGCCUGAUGGAGCAACGCCGCGUGCAGGAUGAAGGCCUUCGGGUUGUAAACUGCUUUUAUAAGCGAGAAAUAUGAUGGUAACUUAUGAAUAAGGAUCGGCUAACUACGUGCCAGCAGCCGCGGUCAUACGUAGGAUCCGAGCAUUAUCCGGGGUGACUGGGUGUAAAGAGUUGCGUAGGUGGCAUAAUAAGUUGCUAGUGAAAUCUGGUGGCUCAACCAUUCAGACUAUUAGCUAAACUGUUAAGCUCGAGACCGUUAGGGGUAACUGGAAUUUCUAGUGUAGGAGUGAAAUCCGUAGAUAUUAGAAGGAACACCAAUAGCGUAGGCAGGUUGCUGGGACGGUUCUGACACUAAGGCACGAAAGCGUAGGGAGCAAACGGGAUUAGAUACCCGAGUAGUC
rnacentral:rRNA from 1 species